rnacentral:lncRNA from 1 species
AUAUUAAUACACUGUGUGGGUCCUAUAUAGACUUAGAUGAUAAGGGUAGGUAGUACACAAAGGUCGACUUUCAAAAGGUAGCAAAGUAAAGUAAUAGGUUGAAUGUGGUCUAGAUAAUAUGUUUACAUAAUGAUUUACAUACAUAUGAUGUGAUGAAAUAUGAUAAGGUCAGAAUUUAUUUAACCAAAUAAAAAGAAAAAAAUUCUAACUUUCUUUUUAACAAGUUAUCUUUAUAUAAACGAUUAUAUAACUUCUUAUGUAUAAAGAGCAUAUUCUUAUCCCAUGUUUCAUGUUGUUGCCUUAACUUUCCUAGGACAUAUAAAAGAUUUUUUUUGGCGUUUUACUGAAACACAUAUAGAGAUAAUGAAGAAAAACCAUUGUGAACUUUUCUCCAUUAUAGUGAAAAUCUACUGCAACAAAUGGAUGCAGUGAAUCAGUAUAAAUUUGUUCAUUUGAUUAAUUUGCAGGAAGUUUUAAGAAACACAAGGACGAAAAACUUAAAUGAGUCCUAAUUACCUCAUGGAGUAGUUCAUCAUUCCAUUGAGACGAAACCUACAAAAUCGAGAGUUGUUGUCCAAGUAAAAAAUCAUGUCAUGUCACUCAAUGAGAGCAAAUAAGAUCUUUCUGCCAAGAAGAAAAACGACGAAAGAGAGAGUUACCCGUGUCGAAACCAGAAGAAAGGAUGCCAAGAGAAACAGAGCAACUUUUGAAGCCAUUGCUAGCAGCAGGCAGGGGAAUCGAAUCAAGAGAGGCCAAAACUACUCAGUAAUGAUUCAGAUGUGGAAGUCUGGC